CUACGAGGCUGUUUUCCAAUUUCAUCUUCAUAAUUCCCCCUACUCCUCAUCCCAGCACCCAUGCCAACCAUGUUAAAGUACUUGGGGCUCUGAGAGUCUCAGAGCACCUUGCUAUCUGAUGUCUUUCUGCCUUGGCAUAUGCACUUCUUCUGUAAAGCUUCUCUUCUCUUGUCUGCCUGAUAUACUUACUUAUCCUUGAGGUUAUCCCUCUAGAAUCAUCUUCUCUCGUAGGUGUUCCUUGAUUGUCCAGGUAAAGUUUAGUUAUAGUGCACCCCGAAAUCUCUCCAUUAGAACAGAACUUCUCAAAACUUCAGGGGUAAGAGACCAGUAAUUUUUUUUAAAUCUCCAGUCUAUCAUGCGCUAAUAACAUUGUAAAAUACAAUUCAAAAAAUUCAUUGAAAAGUGAAAUAAAAGGAUAUAAACUACAAUCUCAGUUUUUAAUCAUUAGAUGCAACAGACACAAAAUUAUUCUGUCAAUGUACUGUGAAAGUUUUGAAUGCUUAUUUUCCAUUUCUUUACUUAUUCUGCCAUAGAAAACAUCUUGUGGAUUGCAGUGGUAUUCAGAUCACACACUGAGUAGCAUCAUACUUGAGCACCAUCAAUGCUAUUUUGCAUUUUAAACAUAGAUCAAAUAUUUUCUUAAUAGCAGAGGCCAUGUUGUAUUGAUCUUUAUCAAGGCAUCUAUCAUUUUGUGCCCAGUGAAAAUAGGUGGAUGAGCAGGCCAGGGUGAACCAGCUCAAGUCUAAUCUUUUGCAGGGACUUGUGGCAUUCCCCCUAAGAGACAUUCUGCACUGAAUCCUUACAAGUGCUUACUCAAGAUCAGACCAGAAAUAAUCACAAUCCAUCCAUAUUAUAAGAAACAUAUAAACUUAAUAUUUUCAGUUUUAGUCUUUUUCAGCUCAGAGGCGGCCCUGUUAUAAUCUCUUCUGAGAAGAAAGAAGAGAUAAGAACAGAGUGGAAAAUGUAGGAUUCCUUCCAACAGGGGAAGAGAUAGCCCCUCAUCAUGCUUAUCCGCUGCUUUUUAUGCAUCUCCACUGUCUCACCUCAUUAUAUGUGUGGUUCCUUUCAAACCACAGCAUCACCUCACCUUAUACACUGGGUGUCUCUCCCCUGGUAUUGAUUCACUUUCCAGGCACACUGCUGUGCAUUCAGCAGAUUUAGAGGGAAAAUAAGUGGUAUAAUAUUGCAGCACUACUGACAAGGUGACUUAAAAUUGUAUUAGAUAAUCCUGUUCUUAAAAAUUCCUUCACGUUCUCAUUGGCUAAUCCCUCCUGCAGAGCUGGACAUCUCACCACUUUAUUGGGACCCUAUCUUUUCAAUGGGUUCUUCCACGCCUCCUUAGGCUGCUUUGAAUUGCUUCUCUCUCACCUAUGAGUUUCCUGUUUCUUUAUUAUGCAAAGUGCUUUAUAUCUCCCUGGUUUUGCAGUCUCUCUCCAAACUCUUGGUUAUGUAAUUCAAGAGCUACAAAUGAAUAUUGCAAAAUGUAUCACAGAAUGUAUUAUAGCAUGCUGUGUAGCCUAAAUGCCUAAUCUCAACAAAGUGUUGGAGAAAACCAGCAGGGGUUUCAAAGCACUAAGGCAGAAAUCUGGGAUGAGUGUUGAUGACACUUUCCUCUUCUUUUCCUUUUUAAAUCUGACAAUGUUGAAUAUCUUUUCAUGUGCUUAUUGGCCAUUUUAUCUUCUCUGGAGAAAUAUCAAUCUAAAUUCUCGCCCCAUUUUUAAUUGGGUUAUUUGUCUUUUUGAAGUGUAAGAAUUUUUAGUUGUAGGAAUAUAUUUUGGAAAGCAGAUCCUUAUUAGAUACACAUUCAUUCUGUGGGUUGUCUUUUCUUUUUCUUGAUAGUGUCCUUUGAAACAUAGAAGUUUUUAUUUUAAUUAAGUUUCUAAUUUAUUUUCUCUUUGGUAUCUCAUUGCCUUUAAAGGUUACUUUUUCACAAUUAAUUUACAGCAUCAUAGGAAUCAUAAUACUCCCAAAUGUUAAUAUGCCCCAGAAUCACUUGAGAACUUUUGAAAAAUGAGGAUUCUCACAUCCUGUUCUAAGAAGUUCUGACUCAGUAGGUGUGGCCUGGACCCAAAUAAUCUGUAUUUUAAUGAGCAGUUCAGGAGAUUUUCAUGUACGAGGUCUAAGGACCCCAUUUCAAGUUACCUUGUUUUCUAAGAAAAGAACUGACUCUAGAGGUCAUCUAGAUUUAUACCCCUGAAGCAGACCCACCCAUGGUGACCCAAAUGAUUCAUGCCUCUAGUAUAAUCCCUUCCUCUUGAGCAGGUGAAGCCUGUGAUUUGCUUUUGAUCAAAAGAAUAUAGGAAAGGUGAUAGGAUAUCACUCCUGGGAUUGUUUUGUUAUGUAAGAAAUGAAAUGGAGCGCUUCUCCAGCUUAGUGAAAUGGAGAGCUUCUCCAGCUGUCUUUGAAGAAGCAAAUGGCCAUAGUAUGGACUGCUGAUGGAGAGGGCUGGGAACUGUGGGUGGCCUACAGCUGGUGACCAAUAAGCAACGAGGGCCCUCAGUCCUACAACAGCAAGGAAAUAAAUCCUCCCAACAUAUGACCUCAGAAACAGAUUCUUCCCCAUUCACCCCCCCAAAUCAGUCCAACAUACUGAUUGUUGACUGUUGAGAUACAGAGAAGAAGAGCCAGAAAAGCUAUGCCUAGACUUCUGGUCUACAGAAGCUAUGACUUAAAGUUUUUUGUUUGCUUGUUUCUUUUUGUAGCUGCUAAAUAUGUGAUAAUGUUACAGAGCAAUAGAGAGAAAACAAAUGCUCUGCCUCAACCUGUUUUAAUCCAUGUCUCCCAUUUUAUAAAUGUAAAUUUACACAUUUACCACUCCUUAAAAUACAAAGUAAAAUACCUAAAAAUACAAAGUAAACAUAAAUACUUGACAAAUAAAAUACAAAGUAAACAUAAAUACUUGACAAAUAAAAUAAAAGCAAAGACACAAGGGCUGCUUCGUUUUAAAAGUAGAUACAACUCUAUUUCUAAUUUUGAUAUUUGCCUUAAUAUCCAAACAAAUUUCAAAUAGAUGUAGUAACUUGUUCAAAGUUACAAAACUAGUUUUGGCUGUCACUAUCAUGUGCUGUCUCCUUUCUAAACAGCUCUUUCAAUCUUCUUGAAGAAAGAACUAUACUUAAUAUUAUUCUGA
rnacentral:lncRNA from 1 species